rnacentral:rRNA from 1 species
UCGCAAGACCGCGAGGUUUAGCAAAUCUCUUAAAGCCGUUCUCAGUUCGGAUUGUAGGCUGCAACUCGCCUACAUGAAGUCGGAAUCGCUAGUAAUCGCGGAUCAGCAUGCCGCGGUGAAUACGUUCCCGGGCCUUGUACACACCGCCCGUCACACCAUGAGAGUUUGUAACACCCAAAGCCGGUGGGGUAACCUUUUGGAGCCAGCCGUCUAAGGUGGAACAGAUGAUUGGGGUGAAGUCGUAACAAGGUAUC